UGCAAGUCGAACGAAGUAGCUUGCUACUUAGUGGCGAAAGGGUUAGUAAUACAUGAGUAACGUACCUCUUACCUGGGGAUAACGGUUGGAAACGACCGCUAAUACCGAAUGAGGAGUGCUGGGGUAGCCCAGUUCCUUCAAAGUAGGGGACCCUUCGGGGCCUUACGGUGAGAGAGCGGCUCAUGGGAUAUCAGCUUGUUGGUGUGGUAAAGGCGCACCAAGGCUAAGACGUCUAGGCGGACUGAGAGGUUGACCGCCAACACUGGGACUGAGACACUGCCCAGACUCCUACGGGAGGCUGCAGUCGAGAAUCAUUCGCAAUGGGCGAAAGCCUGACGAUGCGACGCCGUGUGGACGAUGAAGGCCUUUGGGUUGUAAAGUCCUUUCGCAAGGGAACAAGAGAUAGUGACUAAUAAUCACUAAAUUUGAGGGUACCUUGUAAAGAAGCACCGGCUAACUCCGUGCCAGCAGCUGCGGUAAUACGGAGGGUGCAAGCAUUAAUCGGAUUUAUUGGGUGUAAAGAGCGCGUAGGCGGGUCAGCAAGUCAGAUGUGAAAUUCCGGAGCUCAACUUCGGAGCUGCAUUUGAAACUACUGGUCUUGAGGAUAGACGGAGAAAACGGAAUUCCACAUGUAGCGGUGAAAUGCGUAGAUAUGUGGAAGAACACCGGUGGCGAAGGCGGUUUUCUAGUUUAUUCCUGACGCUGAGGCGCGAGAGCAAGGGUAGCAAACAGGAUUAGAUACCCUGGUAGUCCUUGCCGUAAACGAUGCAUAGUUGGUGUAGCUGGACUCAACCCCAGCUGUGCCGUAGCUAACGUGUUAAGUAUGCCACCUGGGGAGUACGCCCGCAAGGGUGAAACUCAAAAGAAUUGACGGGG
rnacentral:rRNA from 1 species